CUCAAUAUAACUAGAGUCCUUACACCUUUCCUAUCUACUGGAUACAGACUUACUGAACCAAAGGGGGUCAUAGACAAUCAGCGUCAAAUAAGACACAAAAAGGCUACUCACCGCAAAUGGUUUUGCUGAUCCACUUCUAUCCCACUUCUAGACACCAAGCUGAAAGGGUUAAUGUUGUAAUGGACUCUAAUCCCCUCGGUUCUCGAUCCCUCGGUCACCAUAAUCAACGUUGAUGGAGGAUCAUUGUAAGCAAUAACACACGGACAACAGCUUUACAAGAC